UACGAAGGGGGCUAGCGUUGUUCGGAAUUACUGGGCGUAAAGCGCGCGUAGGCGGUGAUCUUUGUCAGAUGUGAAAUCCCGAGGCUCAACUUCGGAAUUGCCUUUGAAACGGGAUUGCUUGAGUCCGAGAGAGGAUGGCGGAAUUCCUAGUGUAGAGGUGAAAUUCGUAGAUAUUAGGAAGAACACCGGUGGCGAAGGCGGCCAUCUGGGUCGGUACUGACGCUCAGGCGCGAAAGCGUGGGGAGCAAACAGG
rnacentral:rRNA from 1 species